CUUUCAAUGUGCUUGAAAUCUGUGAUAGAUCAAAAAGUUGUAUGCCAGUAUAGAUAGCCUUAAUAUCUUUGAUUUACGCCAUAUCUUAUGGGAAAUAAGAUGUUCGCGGAUACUGAAACGAAGCGGUUUUGUAUUACGAUGGCUAUGGAUUGAAAAAUAAAAAUAGAAAAUGUUGCCUCGUUCAGAUUGAAAAAUCGGCUUGCCGCCAUUGCUGCUGGAGGUCUGGUGUCUAGUCUGAAAUAUUCUCUUCUUUAGUGUCUUCUUCCUCACAUGAGACCAAGGAAAGCAUUUCCUAAAAUACCACUGGACUUAAUCUUUGCUCAAGAAUUGAUCAUUCCACAAGAAGAACCAGUUUAAAUUUGAUGAAGAAUUGCAGAUGAAAGUUUGAAUCUUGGAAAAAAAUAUUUGCAUUUCUUCAAUUUUAUAAAUUUCUACAUGUUAUUCUUAUUUGUGAAUGAUGAAUGUAGACAAUGCAAGGAAUUGUUAUAAUAAAAAUGAAUGCUUCAA